rnacentral:rRNA from 1 species
CAGUCGCCGCGGGAAUACAGAGGGUGCGAGCGUUAAUCGGAUUUACUGGGCGUAAAGCGUGCGUAGGCGGCUUUUUAAGUCGGAUGUGAAAUCCCUGAGCUUAACUUAGGAAUUGCAUUCGAUACUGGGAAGCUAGAGUAUGGGAGAGGAUGGUAGAAUUCCAGGUGUAGCGGUGAAAUGCGUAGAGAUCUGGAGGAAUACCGAUGGCGAAGGCAGCCAUCUGGCCUAAUACUGACGCUGAGGUACGAAAGCAUGGGGAACAAACAGGAUUAGAUACCCCCGUAGUCCCUGUCUCUUAUAC